GGCAGGAGCUGUAGGUGGCCAGCACUGCAGGAGGCAGGGUUUGCUGAAGUUAACAGCUGCCAGAGCCAGCAAAUUGGGAAUUUUAACACUUAUAGUGAAGAGUUGAUGUGCAGGAGAGCUGAAGAACUCAGGGCAGAGAGGGGUGAAAGGCUCCAGGUGCAGCCCUGGUGAGGGUGGGCUGAUUCAUUCUAGAGAAACUGAGGCUCCAGAGUGAUCUGAUCCUUCAGCUGCAGAGAGAACCAGCUAACAAGAGAUGUUUGCUCACUGUCCACUGCUGGCUUGGCAGGUAUCUCAGACAUUUUAAACUGCAAAUCUUUAAGGGCCUUCACCCGUGGGUGCUCAAAAAUCUGUUACUGAUCCAAUGACUUCUUUUGUUAAGAUCCACACAUUUUCUUAAUUUUUCAUGUCUUCUGUAUUUUUUUUACUUCCAGGAUUGCUGCAUCAAGGAUUUUCCCACAGACAAUAGACCCAGCUCAUGGGUCCAAAGACCAAACCUGAAGGAAAGGAUGAUCUUGCAGUUAUCCCCUGCUUCCUUGGACUUCAGAAGGCCUUAAGGACCUUGCCAUCCCCAUGUCCUCCUCAAACCUCAAGGAAGCCUCUGACAACAGCCCUGGGCUCACUUUGCCUUCCUCUCAAAGCUGGCAAGCCUCAGGAGGCAAACCAGCCAUGCUGGAUUGGCUUUACACCUAAACUGGGAGUAAAACAGCACCAAAAGUUCCUUGUCUCAUGAGAUAAACUGGAAAAAAAAAUAAAGAAGGUAACUUAGGCAAUCCAACCUACCCACACGUGGCUCCAGAUAUGAAGAAUAACCUUAUGGAAGUUGCUGGAGAAAAAUGAAUGUAGUGGGAGAACUAAGGAAAGUAAUCUGAAGCAGAAACCACAGCCUCAUGCUGGAUGAAAAGCCAUGCCACAGUUUGUUUAAAGAAAAAGCUUUUUAUUUCACAAAACAUACUCCUCAGGAAGCCACCAGAGACCAGCCUGUCGAGCAGAAAGUACAACAAAC